rnacentral:tRNA from 1 species
CUGACUAGAGCUUUAAGUUUAAGCACUUUAUUUACACUAAUGAGAAUGUUGUUAAAUCAACAUAGUCUGA